rnacentral:rRNA from 1 species
AUUGAACGCUGGCGGUAGGCCUAACACAUGCAAGUCGAGCGAGCGGCGGAGGGGUGAGUAAUGUAUGGGGACUGCCCGAUAGAGGGGGAUAACGACCGGAAACGGGAGCUAAUACCGCAUACUAUCGGAUAACCCAUAUGGGAUUAGCUAGUAGGUGAGGUAAUGGCUCACCUAGGCGUCGAUCCCUAGCUGGUCUGAGAGGCUGAUCAGCCACACGUGGACUGAGACACUGCCCAGACUCCUACGGAGGCAGCAGUGGGGAAUAUUGCACAAUGGGCGCAAGCCUAAUGCAGCCAUGCCGCGUGUAUGAAGAAGGCCCUAGGGUUGUAAAGUACUUUCAGUCGAGAGGCGUUACCGACAGAAGAAGCACCGGCUAACUCCGUGCCAGCAGCCGCGGUAAUAC